CGAGCCCCUAGAGGCCUUGUGGGUGUGGCUGCUGUGUUACGUGUACAGCAAUAGCUGACAGAGAGGGGAGAGGCCAUGUCUACACUCAGUGUUCUGACCUUUCAACAUCUGAAUGAUUAGUAGCCUAAUUCU
ensembl:snoRNA Gm25880 small nucleolar RNA SNORA17